AUGCAGAUGAUGAGUUCAAAAUAGGACUAAACGCUCGUCUUGAAU
rnacentral:hammerhead_ribozyme from 1 species